AAUGGGGGAAACCCUGAUGCAGCCAUGCCGCGUGUGUGAAGAAGGCCUUCGGGUUGUAAAGCACUUUCAGUAGGGAGGAAAGGGUGAGUCUUAAUACGGCUCAUCUGUGACGUUACCUACAGAAGAAGGACCGGCUAACUCCGUGCCAGCAGCCGCGGUAAUACGGAGGGUCCGAGCGUUAAUCGGAAUUACUGGGCGUAAAGCGUGCGCAGGCGGUUUGUUAAGCGAGAUGUGAAAGCCCUGGGCUCAACCUAGGAAUAGCAUUUCGAACUGGCGAACUAGAGUCUUGUAGAGGGGGGUAGAAUUCCAGGUGUAGCGGUGAAAUGCGUAGAGAUCUGGAGGAAUACCGGUGGCGAAGGCGGCCCCCUGGACAAAGACUGACGCUCAUGCACGAAAGCGUGGGGAGCAAA
rnacentral:rRNA from 1 species